rnacentral:tRNA from 1 species
AGCGUGAUGGCGCAGCUGGUAGCGCGCUGGGCUCAUAACCCAGAGGUCGUCGGAUCGAAACUGACUCCCGCU